CGCAAUCAACAAUGAGAUGAGGGACCUAAAGGACCUACAUUUCAUCCUUGUGUUCAUGCCAAAAUGAGUUCCAUCCAUGACUGAAACCUUUGUCUGGGUCCAAGCUUCGUCGGGCCGGAAAUUGUCUCCGACAGCGGUGGAGACCCAAAUACACCUAACACUGCACCAAUCUAUUCAUUAUCCCCUCAUAUUCCGUAAUAUUUCAGUGUUUCCUUCUUAUUCCUAUCAUAGAGUCUAAAUCGAGUGAAGCAUUUCAUGAACCCUAAAAAAAUGGAAUCAAAAUUAAAUGGUGCCAAGGAGGAAUCAAAGCCUCACACCUGAGGGAUUUGAUUCAUCAUGCUUGAUGCUACAUUAUGGAAAGCAAAAUUGAGCAAUGAGAGGAAGAAAUCAAGAUCACUAACCUAUGAGGCAGAGAAGGGCCCCAGUUCUGUUGAAGUUGGAGAAGAUGAAAAUGAAUACAAUUGAAGCUUCAGGCAUGCUUUUGGCCAUGUUUUGAAUGUUGGCAAUGUGUUUGUGUAUACUGAACUUGAUUAAUGUUUAUGCAAGGCUGAUACUAAUUCGGUAGGGUGAAAUUGGUUUGAAACAAAAUGGCAUGGCAUGAAGAGAUUUGAAGUCCUUAAAGAAAAAUGUGGUGGAUUGUUUGAAUGCAUGGACCAAAGUUCAUGGAGUCAAAUGGAUCAUGAAGGAAAAUCAUGGCAUGGUGGAAGAACUCCUUGAAAAGAGAAGACCAAAGUGGACUUAGGGGUUAGGGUAUUUGGUUUGACUUGGGUAAAAUGUUGACCAAAACGUCAACAGUUGACCAAAGUCAACUUAAAGUCAACAAUGCGUAUUUUUGUAUAGAACUUGGCUUUGUAUAUCUUGUAAUCAAACUUGAAAUGUUUGUAAUGAUUUUUUACCUUUGAACUGUGGCAUGUGACCUACUCUUCCUGAAA